rnacentral:rRNA from 1 species
UACGUAGGGCGCAAGCGUUGUCCGGAAUUAUUGGGCGUAAAGAGCUCGUAGGCGGCCAGUUGCGUCCGCUGUGAAAUCCCGGGGCUUAACCUCGGGCCUGCAGUCGAUACGGGCAGACUAGAGUUCGGUAGGGGAGACUGGAAUUCCUGGUGUAGCGGUGACAUGCGCAGAUAUCAGGAGGAACACCGGUGGCGAAGGCGGGUCUCUGGGCCGAAACUGACGCUGAGGAGCGAAAGCGUGGGGAGCGAACAGG